rnacentral:rRNA from 1 species
UACGGAGGAUGCGAGCGUUAUCCGGAUUUAUUGGGUUUAAAGGGUGCGUAGGCGGGUUGUUAAGUCAGCGGUAAAAUUGCGGUGCUCAACGCCGUAGAGCCGUUGAAACUGGCGGCCUUGAGUGGGCGAGAAGUACGCGGAAUGCGUGGUGUAGCGGUGAAAUGCAUAGAUAUCACGCAGAACUCCGAUUGCGAAGGCAGCAUACCGGCGCCCUACUGACGCUGAGGCACGAAAGUGCGGGUAUCGAACAGG